CGCACAGCCAUGACGUUUUAAGAGACAGGGCAACCCUCCACCUGCGCCGUGUCCAUCGGAACGAAAGCCACUCGAGUAACAGGACGUUGACAUUUGCCAAUCCAAGGUGUUGAGAGUCUUUAACUGUCCACCUCAUGCGUCUGUACAGUUGAAAUCUAAAUCUUCGUCCGUGAGAGAGCGACGUCAAAGCGUAACGAGUCAUCCAUACAAUUGAUUAACGCCACAAGUAUCUAUAUCCAUCUUUGGGUGCCUUCAAUACUUACCACUCGAUGGAGAUAUCGGCCAAACUACGCCCCUGAUGCCGUACAUAACUCUGAAUUCAUUUAGGCUCGUCAGCUAUUUCUCGGAAUUUUCAACGAGAAUGACGACGAGGAUCACGAGAUGUCUCUUCCAUAAGUUGCAACAGGCCUGUACAUGUUGUCCAUCCUCGAGAUCUGUGCGUCUGUCUAGCCGUCGCUGGAGCGAAGUUGAAUAAAGAUUGCGCGCGCGCGCGCCCACCUGUCGGAAAUCAGUAGUUGUACCGUUGGCUGACCCUGUUUCACCGAUGCCGUAAUGACCACAGAAAUGGCGAGCCGAAAAAAGAAUGAUAUGGAAAACGAAAAGAAAAAAAAAAUAACACGGGAAAGAAAGUCAUAAAAGAUGUGCAGUGAGGCGCGCUCGCGCCGCCCAACAUUUGCAUUGCGGUAAAAGCGGCAACACGGAAAUUCUGGCACGUCCAACUAUUUUCUUUUUCUUUUUCUUUUUCUUUAAAAAUAAAAAAAAUGC